UACGUAGGGUGCAAGCGUUGUCCGGAAUUAUUGGGCGUAAAGAGCUCGUAGGCGGUCUGUCGCGUCGGCUGUGAAAUCCCGAGGCUCAACCUCGGGUCUGCAGUCGAUACGGGCAAACUAGAGUAUUGCAGGGGAGACUGGAAUUCCUGGUGUAGCGGUGAAAUGCGCAGAUAUCAGGAAGAACACCUAUGGCGAAGGCAGCUCUCUGGGACGGUACUGACGCUGAGACGCGAAAGCGUGGGGAGCGAACAGG
rnacentral:rRNA from 1 species